rnacentral:rRNA from 1 species
UGGGGAAUAUUGGACAAUGGGGGCAACCCUGAUCCAGCAAUGCCGCGUGUGUGAAGAAGGUCUUCGGAUUGUAAAGCACUUUCGACGGGGACGAUGAUGACGGUACCCGUAGAAGAAGCCCCGGCUAACUUCGUGCCAGCAGCCGCGGUAAUACGAAGGGGGCUAGCGUUGCUCGGAAUGACUGGGCGUAAAGGGCGUGUAGGCGGUUUACACAGUCAGAUGUGAAAUCCCCGGGCUUAACCUGGGAGCUGCAUUUGAUACGUGUAGACUAGAGUGUGAGAGAGGGUUUGUGGAAUUCCCAGUGUAGAGGUGAAAUUCGU